CGCCAAUCAGAAUGGCUGUCCUUCAAAAAUCCACAGAUAUCCAGAGGGAAUCCUAAUUCAAAAAGACACCUGCACCCCAAUGUUCAUAGCAGCACUAUUUACAAUAGCCAAGACAUGGAAACAACCUGAAUGUCCAUCAACAGAUGACUGGAUAAAGAAGGUGGUGUUCCUGAUGGGGCCAGCUGAGGAGAGGAAACUGGAGAUGUGACACUGGAGCUGGAAUUCCAUGAACAGUCAGGCUGGACACAGUGUGAUAUGACAACACCCAGGAGUUUUCCAUACUUUAAGGUAGACGGGCUGGAGAUGCAUCUUGUUCUCUGAGGGUGGCACAAAUAAUCAGUAUAAUAUGAGACCACCCAGAAGAUGGCUGUUUGGAUAGAUGAUUGGACUGCAAGUGACAACACUGACUGGGUGACAAGCCAAGACACCAUCGACUAUGAGUACCUUAUUUUUUGGUGGGUAGUACAGGUAAUCAAUGGUUUUUAAAGGUGGUAGGUAGCUGUAGGGACACAGCAUUACCUUCGAGGAUGUAGAGGACCCUAUCCAGUGGGAUGUCCCAUGUCAUCAUGGUGGAUUGGCUCAAAACAAAGGGACCAAAAGUGCCCAUGUCAGGAGAUCUUUUCAGCUGCCAAAUCCAAAAACUAGCUUCGUACAGUGGACCAUAUACCAUAGUGUGCUGGGGGCACAGAAAGAAGAAAUAGAAUUGCAAGGGAGCACAGUCAGAAUUUGUCAGGGAUCUAGAAGGGAAGGUUGGUUGAACCUUGGAAGACACUCCUUAGGUAUUGGUGGAAGGAACAAUUACUAGCAUGAGUCAUUCAAUCCCAACUAGACAACCUGAUUCUUUCCAUGAUGUGACUGUGU